UGCUCUACACUCUAGUGUUGCUAAAAGAUAGGCAUAUUUAAUUUGCUUUUUGGCAGGGCAUUUCAGUAAAAGCAUUCCUACUCUGGCCUGGUUUUGGACUUUAAUCUAUAUUACCUGUCCCCAGAUUACCUCUAUGAUUUUUUUUUUUUUUUUUGAGACAGCAUCUCACUCUGUUGCCCAGGCUGGAGUGCAGUGGCACUAUCUCGGCUCACUGCAACCUCUGCCUCCACCUCCCUGGUUCAAGCGAUUUUCCUGCGUCAACCUCCAGAGUUGCUGGGACUACAGGGGGCAUGCCACCACACCAAGCUAAUUUUUGUACUUUCAGUAGAGACAGGGUUUCACCAUGUUGGCCAGGCUGGUCUCAAACUCCUGACCUCAGGUGAUCCCCCUGCCUCAGCCUCCCAAAGGGCUUACAAAGGGAUUACAGGUGUGAGCCACUGCGCCCGGCGACCUCUAUGAUUUUACCUUUUAUCGUGUUCCUUGUCACCUAUGACAAUUCAGCCACAAAGCCUUGUUUCUUCACUCUGACUCGCCAAAGUCAUGAUCUCAUUGAGAACUUUUCACUUCCUGUUUUUUUCUUUGUGAAUUAUUUUUCCCUAAUCAUGGCCACUUCCUUCUUAUCAUUCACAUUUCAGCCUAAAGGGCAGCUUUUUAGUGAGGGCUUGGCUAGCUACCCAAAUGAAAGCAGACACCCUGUCAAGAUGUAUCAAAUCACAUUGUUUUAAUUCCCUGCAUAACACCAAUUGUUAUUCUCAGUUUUUUCUUGCUGAUGUAUUUGUUUGUUCAUUUUCCAAUUUCCCUUACUAUGAUAUAUACCAUAUGAGAGCAGGGAUUUUUGUCUUGCUCAAGGCUCUAUCUUCAGUAACUAGAAGUUUUUGGAACAUCUUAUCUGUUCAAUAUUUGCUACAUUUAUGAUUAAU
rnacentral:lncRNA from 1 species